CUCAUCUCCUCUGCUCUUUAGCUGCAGGACAUGAGAGUGUCUUUGUAUUUUUCCAAGGAGUCCUUCUGACUUUCACACCCAGCCUUUAAUUGCUGAGUAAUCCCUUCCGGUGUUUCCAAAAAAUCUACUGUGGCUGUUUUCUAGAGAUUCCACUGCCUCUAGCAAUAAGCUUCUUAUUGCAUUGUCAUUAUAAUUUCUAUUUCCUCUGUUUUUACCAAACACUUGGUACACUGAACCCUCUAGUGCACUUCUUUCUAUUACUAAGACACCUCAAUCUCUGCCACGUGAGUUUCACCUUUACGACCCCAUUCCAGAGACCAUCAAUCCUGGACCUGUGACCAGUGACAGGACUCUUACUGCCAGUAGCGAGGGGGAUGCAGCACUAGAAGCUCAUUGAGUGCUGGCUUACUUGGACAGCUUCUGGGACCAAUGGCUGCAGAUUAGAUUCUUCAGGAAGCAGAAUCUCAGAUGAAGAUGAGCAUGCAGCAAGUUUCCUACCGAGUGCUCUCAGGAACACUGGCUGUGAAGGGAGAGAAGGAAGCAGGAUUGGGCAGAGGAGGGAAGUCUCAGUCUAUCCUACAGGAGAUGUUGUCCUGAGAUUGGCCAUAUCAGUUAUAUCUUGCUUAGAUGAAUUGGAAAGCUGGGCUUCGUUCCCUGGCACUCUCGGGCUGAAUGAUGGAGAGCGUGGCCCCAAGCUAGCCAAAGCUAAUGCUAGAUAACUUGCAGAUUCGGCACAGCAAGCCUGGCCAUGCCUACUGAAUCUUCACAUCAUGUAGUAGAAGGGUUUUUAAACCCCCUCCUGUGUCUGUCA
rnacentral:lncRNA from 12 species